GACGAACGCUGGCGGCGUGCCUAAUACAUGCAAGUAGAACGCUGAAGGAGGAGCUUGCUUCUCUGGAUGAGUUGCGAACGGGUGAGUAACGCGUAGGUAACCUGCCUGGUAGCGGGGGAUAACUAUUGGAAACGAUAGCUAAUACCGCAUAAUAGUAGAUGUUGCAUGACAUUUGCUUAAAAGGUGCAAUUGCAUCACUACCAGAUGGACCUGCGUUGUAUUAGCUAGUUGGUGGGGUAACGGCUCACCAAGGCGACGAUACAUAGCCGACCUGAGAGGGUGAUCGGCCACACUGGGACUGAGACACGGCCCAGACUCCUACGGGAGGCAGCAGUAGGGAAGCUUCGGCAAUGGACGGAAGUCUGACCGAGCAACGCCGCGUGAGUGAAGAAGGGUUUCGGAUCGUAAAGCUCUGUUGUAAGAGAAGAACGAGUGUGAGAGUGGAAAGUUCACACUGUGACGGUAUCUUACCAGAAAGGGACGGCUAACUACGUG
rnacentral:rRNA from 1 species